rnacentral:rRNA from 1 species
CCUACGGGAGGCAGCAGUGGGGAAUAUUGGACAAUGGGCGAAAGCCUGAUCCAGCAAUGCUGCGUGAGUGAUGAAGGCCUUCGGGUCGUAAAGCUCUUUUACCAGGGAUGAUAAUGACAGUACCUGGAGAAUAAGCUCCGGCUAACUCCGUGCCAGCAGCCGCGGUAAUACGGAGGGAGCUAGCGUUGUUCGGAAUUACUGGGCGUAAAGAGUACGUAGGCGGUUAUUCAAGUCAGAGGUGAAAGCCCGGGGCUCAACCCCGGAACUGCCUUUGAAACUAGAUAACUAGAGUCUUGGAGAGGUUAGUGGAAUUCCGAGUGUAGAGGUGAAAUUCGUAGAUAUUCGGAAGAACACCAGUGGCGAAGGCGACUAACUGGACAAGUACUGACGCUGAGGUACGAAAGCGUGGGGAGCAAACAGGAUUAGAUACCCUGGUAGUCCACGCCGUAAACGAUGAUAACUAGUUGUUCGGUCACUUGGUGACUGAGUGACGCAGCUAACGCAUUAAGUUAUCCGCCUGGGGAGUACGGUCGCAAGAUUAAACCUCAAAUGAAUUGACGGCUGGAGAGUGCGACGACGACGACGAGGAGAGG